rnacentral:lncRNA from 1 species
CUGCAAGUAUAUUAAAUAUACAUUAUAAUUAUUGACAUGCAUGCAUCAACAUAGGCUUUUAAUUAUUGAGUUAACAAGGUGUGUAGAUGUAAGUAUUGAGAGAGUAAUUACCGUGAUAGAGAUAUCUAAUAGUGGUAUGGAGGAGGAGGAGAUUUGUAGAGGUAAGGAUGGUGUGGUGGAGAGUAGUGGUGUACUGGAGGAGGAGGAGGUGAUUUGUACACGUACUUUUCCUUUGGUGGUGGUGGAGAGUGGUAAACCGGAGGAGGAGAGUAGUGCUUAACCGGAGGAGGAGGGGACUUGUAUACGUAAUGUUUCUUUGGUGGUGGUGGGGAAUGGUAGACUGGAGGGGGAGAGUAGUGCUUAACCGGAGGAGGAGGGGACUUGUAUACGUAAUGUUUCUUUGGUGGUGGUGGGGAAUGGUAAACUGGAGGGGGAGAGUAGUGCUUCACCGGUGGUGGUGGAGAUUUGUACACGUAGUGUUUCUUUGGUGGGGGUGGGGAAUGGUAAACCGGAGGAGGAGAGUAGUGCUUAACUGGAGGAGGAGGAGAUUUGUACACGUAGUGUUUCUUUGGUGGUGGUGGGGAAUGGUAAACCGGAGGAGGAGAGUAGUGCUUAACCGGAGGAGGAGGAGAUUUGUACACGUAGUGUUUCUUUGGGGGUGGUGGGGAAUGGUAAACCGGAGGAGGUGAGUAGUGCUUCACCGGUGGUGGUGGAGAUUUGUAGACGUAAUGCUUUUUAGGUGGGGGUGGGGAAUGGUAAACCGGAGGGGGAGAGUAGUGCUUAACCGGAGGAGGAGGAGACUUGUAAACGUAAUGUUUUUUUGGUGGUGGUGGUGAGUGGUAAACCGGAGGGGGAGAGUAGUGCUUAACCGGAGGAGGAGGAGACUUGUAUACGUAAUGUUUCUUUGGUGGUGGUGGUGAGUGGUAAACCGGUGGGGGAGAGUAGUGCUUGACUGGAGGAGGGGGAGAUUUGUACACGUAGUGCUUCUUGGGUGGUGGUGGAGAGUGGUAAACCGGAGGAGGAGAGUAGUGCUUAACCGGAGGAGGGGGAGAUUUGUAAACGUAGUGCUUCUUUGGUGGUGGUGGGGAGUGAUAAACCGGUGGGGGAGAGUAGUGCUUGACCGGAGGAGGAGGAGAUUUGUACACGUAGUGUUUCUUUGGUGGGGGUGGGGAAUGGUAAACCGGAGGAGGUGAGUAGUGCUUAACCGGUGGAGGUGGAGAUUUGUAUUCGUAGUGCUUCUUAGGUGGUGGUGGGGAGUGGUAUACCGGUGGAGGAGAGUAGUGUUUAACCGGAGGAGUGUAAUGUUUAACCGGUGGUGGAGGAGAAGAAUAGAAAUAGUUAGCGGUUGAUUGAGAUACAAAGGUGAGAGAGAUUGUUAAGACAAGCAAAGUUGCCACUAAAGAGGCCAUUGGAGACCCCAUUGGUUGUUUUGUUUUUGGUUUGUGAUUUAGUGCCUUCCCUUCACACCCUUUAAAUAGCUUUUUCAGUUUCACUAUUUUCACACUCGUUGUAAAAUGGUAACUUACGUCAUGUAAAAAGUACAUGCAAUUAUGUACACCAAACAUAUAUAAAUAUUAGUAUAUAGAAAGAAGUGAUGUUUGUUGGUCUCUCCGACUCUCAUUAUUAAACUUUUUUCUUCAGCCAUCGAUGAUUGACAUGUUCUCCAUGUUCGAACAACGUAUCGAAUCUCGUGAUUUUUCAAAAUAUAACGUUAGAUCUAACGUAUGUUUUCUAAAUCUCGCGAUUUUUGUUAUGUCCCUUUUGAUAAUACUCACUUUUUUUUGUGUGUGAAAAUUCACUUUAGAACAAUAAUACAAUGUCCCAAAAGCUAAGAAAGUAGUAAUUGUAAUUGUAGAACGUUGUAAGAGAAAAUAUGUUGAUGGCCUCUUGAGUUUUUCUUUUUCCGGUAAAGAAGAUAUAUAUGGCCUCUAAGUUAAAAGGGGAAACAUGAGAAAAUCAUUUCUGACUACGUUAAAUGUAAAACAUGACUCUAAACACACAAGAUUAAUACUUUACUUUUUCUUUCAAAUUUAGAAAUAACAAAACCAUAUCAGAAAUUAUGUACACAGCCGUAUAUAGGUUUGUGGUUAUAGAUUAGAUGUUUGUCGAUAUUUGAUCCAUUAAUAUGUGUAAGUCGAACUAUAACCAGCGAAUGUAAUGUCAUAACAUGGUCCAAAUUAUUAAUUUGGAAUUUAUUUAUCUUAUAUUUUACUUAACAAAGUUACUAAAUUUUAGUCCGCUUUUAUCUUUCUAUUUUUGGUUACAUGCAUCUUUUCAUUUUGUGUUAAAGUACAUACAUCCUUUUUUCUCCGAUGAUACUUUCUUCUUGGCUCCUUAUACAAGUCCUUAUGAAUAAUGGGAAACGAAUAACAUUGCCUUUGACACUUUUAGAAAAAGCAUUUGCAAUAUUCAUUUUGAGAACCAAAUAAAAGUUAUGUUCAAAUUCUUUCUUUCUUUCUUUUUUCCAGUUUUGUAAUCUUAAGUUUGAGCAUGAUCUGCCUAAUGCAUAAGUGAUUCUCGGCAAUGUAAUGGACCAACCACAGAUAUUUUCAUAGAUAGAGAUGUGAAUAUAUAUAGAUCAAUAAUCAGAAACAGCUAAAUAUAGCUAAACAACUUAUUUUCGAUAUCUCACCUACUUCCUACGUACUGGUCAAAGAUGCUUACCACAUCCAUUCUUUUACUCGUUCAUUACAAAUGUAAUCAAAUCCAAUAUUCAUUACAGAACUUAUCAAUUCAAUGUAAAAUAUUCAUCUUUAAUCUAAAUGCUCUAUCCCAACAUUAUUGCAGUUAAUGCAUAUUAGAUACAGCAAAUUUAUUAUCGAGCAUAAAACUCUAUAAUAUAGUUUUGAGUUAUUACCUAGAAGAUUCAGUUCCGGAUAAUAUUGUUUUUCAUCUAGUGAACCUAGAUCGACUAAUAAUAAACCUAUAUAAACCCCAAUUAAGUAACAUGUUCAUCGAAACUUUGCAUUUACUUCAUUUUUUUUAUAGUCGAUUAUAUUUUUCUUCUUCAACAAAAGACACUUAUAUAUGUAAUUUUUAAUUUUCUAGUCAAUACAUUUUCUCCAAAUAAAAUAGGGUUUUGUUUACGGAGAAUACUUUUUAAAAAAGAAAGAGUAUAUGAACGCGUUGACUUACGGCGGCCGAGUUAGAAGUGGAAGGAACAAAAGAGAGAAGGUGGUCCGUCAUACAUCCGAAUACCGCUCCUAAAGGUGACACUGCCAACGUGACAGUGAUUGUUCGAUCUUCGAUUUGGUGUUUUGCCUCACAUUUUCUUUGUUUAACCUUAGAACACGUUUCUUGUCCUCUCUAUUAUUCUUUUUUAAUUACAUACGCUGUCAAUUAUCAAGAGAUAAGAAAACGUUAAUAUGAUUUAACUAAUUAACAAGGUAGAUGAAUUAUCACGACCGGACUUUUCUGACUGAAUAUAAGGAUGAUAAAUGUUCAUUAUUUGUUUUUUGUUUUCUUUUUCGGUGCACUGGAUUCUUCAUUUCAAUUAUAGACUAUUGUACAUCUUCAUCUUCUAUCAAAAUAAACAAAUAAAUCAAUAAAAGAAGCUUGGUCAAGAGUCAAGAUAGAUUUUCGAUAAUUGAAUUUUAUUCAUUUUCAUCGAACUGGAUAAGUAACCAGCUGGAUUAAGACUUAGACAAAUUAACAACUUCGCAUAAUUUUUUAACACAUUCUUGAAAGCUGACUUUGUUGGUGAGACGUCAACAAAUUGCAAGAAUAAUCACCGUCAUACCGAUUUGGUCAUUUGUAAUAAAGUAACACGACAAUAGUUACCUUUGAUGAUAAUAAUUACAGAAUUAUAGAUAUUUAGAUUCCUUUAGUAAAAUAUAGCUCAUAUCUGAUCCACUUCGAAAGAUGAUAGCCUUAAAGUAAAUAUUGGUAUACAUUUGAGUUUGACUAGAUAACAAUUCCAUAAGACCAAUAAAGAUUUUACGAUAUUGAAUAGAUUUUUAUGCGCUUAUUAUUUUAAAUAUAUUAGAAAUAUACAUAAUUGGUGUUUGCUUUCAUUUAGAAUGUUAAAUUACAUGCAUGGUUUUAACUUUUAUCUUCACGAAUAUACGGAUUAAUUACGGUAUAGAUUAGAACCUCGUGAUAAUCAAAAAGGAAAAAUAUAUAGAGGGGGUAUUAUUUGACCACUCUUUGACGUGUUAGAUACUUUCUAAGAAUAUAUUUUUAAAAAAAUUAUUUUUCUUAGAUCUAUCGUUAUAUAUUAAUCUCAUAGUAACAAUUCUUCUGCUAUAUGAUUUUUCAAACAGAAAAAAAAUAUGUCUAAAAAAAGUUAUCCUUUGUAGUUUGAAUACUAGCAUUUCUUAAACACAAAUUAACUUUUCGAGCAGAAUUCCAAAUAGAACGUUAGUCAAAUUCUAAACUAGUUUUCGAGAUCUACAAAACUUUCAUCUUUUUUGUGUGGUCAAUGAUUUUUUACAUAGAAUGAUAAAAAAGAGUAUAUGAAUUCAUGAAAUGAUCAUCACUAACUUACCAUACCUUUGUUUUUUUUGAUAAAUUGAUAUAUUCAGUCUAAUAGACUCGAUUGACGACAAAAGAAAGACUUGUAUAUAAUAAAUAUGCGAUAUUAGAUUGUAACUGCAUGAUAGAUCAAUGAGUCAUAAGCAACAUGGCCUCCUUGUUCGAUACAUUUUUCUAAACAUAUUCGAUCCCUAAGCUACUAGCUACGUGUAAUUUUGCUAUAUAAAAAUAUUCAGCAUAAAAUUAAAAAAAUAGCUCAUCACUUCAGAUGAUAUGAAAAAGAAAGACUACACGUCGAUAAUCAAUCUAGACAAUAAUAAAGAUAUUUGUGACUAUUUCCUGGAAACACGUACAUAAACGUUAUUUGUCGUAAGAUACAGUUUUGUCGGGUCGCCGAAUGUGUCCCAAUAUGCAGUCUAUAAUCAAUAUGUGUCUAUUACAGACGAUUAGUUCGACUGUAAUUUCAUAUGGAUUUACAACUUUUUUUAAGAAUAUGAUUGGUAGCGGAAAAAAAUAUAUAUGAUUGGUAAAAAAAUAAAGUUUAUAAAAUUUUAAUUAACAGAAUUCCAAUAUAUAUUGAAGUGUUAAGAUUUUUGCUAAAUAAAUAAUUAGCAUCUAUACUAAUAAGAUAAGAAGAAUAAUAAUGAGGUUUAUAUAUUUACUUUUUAGGAAUUUUGAAAAUUUUCAAUAAUUUAUCUUAAAACUUUGUAGAUGGAGUUUGAGUUAUAUACUGUAUAUUUGAAUUACUGGGAGUCUGGGACAGAGCUACAGAAUUAUAAUAUAUAUUUUGCUUUAACAGAAAUUUUUGAAAUUACGGACCUAUCAUAUGUUACCAAUAAUCGUUAGAUUCGAACUUCCAUGUGGGAAUUAAAUUGAGACUACCAAACUUGUUUGAACAAAAAGAUUUCUUUUAAGAACUAAUCUAGAAUCCUAGAUUUUAAAUUAGCCUUUUGUGGACGUUUUCGCUAUAAAAAAUAAUAUGAUCAAAAUAAUUCGCAACUAAAAAUAAUUCACGACUUAUAAGAAGAAUCCCAUUCAAAAACACUAAUCAUCUCCUAAUUUUAAUUUGUUGAACUCUUUUAUUCUUUUUACAACAAAAACAUAAGAAGGAAAUCUACUGCUAAAAGCCUAAAACCAAAAAAAAAAAAAAAUAAAGAAAAAAGAAAAACAGAAAAACACUCCCUCUAUAACCAAUAUUGUACGACUUAAUUUUUUCACAAUUUCUUAAAUUCAUUAUACCGACAAACUAUCUCACGGUAAUAUCUGGAUUAUUAUUUUGUCCGUCUUUAUGGAAAGCGUUAGGAGAAGUUUGUUGAUUUUAUUCUUCAACAAAAAAAAACGUUUGUUGAUUUUAUAGUUGAUUUAUGGGACCAGCAGGCGGCUUGGCUGAUAUAUACGUCUUCGUUUUCUUUUUUUCUAGUUAGAUUUUAUGUGAUGUGAAAUUUUUUAAUUUGAAAAGAUAUAAAUAUUUUGACAUCAACAUACAAAAUGAUUAUUAUUUUAUAACAUAAUUAGCUCUUUUCUCUUAUUCCAUGGAGGAUUUAGUGACAUAUGUACACUUGGAAAAGUCACUGGUUAAUACUGUAGUAAUUUAGUAAGAAUUCUAUAAGAAGUAGAAAAUAUCUUCGAAAUAUUCUGCCGACAUAUCCUUAAAUUUAAGUUUUCACUACUUCUCCUAUUACGAUAAAAACUUAUAUAUAUAGACGUACGUUCAAAUAUCUCCCAUGUGAAAUUUCAAGUGUGUUUUUAUCCCAAAAAAAAUCAUGUGUACAAGAUAAAAAUACUAUGUAUAUUCAUCCGUACAAAAAUAACUUGUUAUUAUAAUUAUGUUAAUUUGUUUACAUUAUUUAUUUACUCUAUAUAUUUCCAAAAAAAAAAUGUUGAAAUUCAAACGCCACUAUUUUAGAAAUGAUUAAUAAGAAUUAUCCGAAAACAGAUUUAUUAUGAAAAUGGAAAAGAGGUAGAAAUUAAUUUUGAUCACGAUAAAGAUAUUCAUGAAAACCUAGUCAAUGAGAAAUUUAAUAUACUAACAUCCUUUAUAUACUAAUAAAGUAAUAAGUAAUAAUACUCAUCGAUCCGAACUACUGUACUUGUAAAACAAGUCCAACAAAAAAACAAGUAAUUCAGGUCAUCAAAUCUAACAAACUUCCCAUAACCGGACUAAACCAACAUUCUAUAGGCUCCCUUGAUUCAAGACACGUCUGUUUCCACUAAACCCUCACAUACGAGAAAUCUUACAUCAACAAACAUACUUGAUACUUCCCCAGCUAGCUCCAAAACCCACGGCGGCACGUCGGCACCAAGGUCCAUCGUCUACUUUUCUUGCAAUAAUUCACAGUAGGAGCUAAAGAAAUGUCACUGUGUCCACGAUUAUCACCAUUUGACCACAAAUUUUGUUCGCUAUUCAUAUGUUUCAAUAAAAUAAAAAUAUUACUAGUAGAUACUAAAGAAAGAGACAACGAAGUAUAACAAAUAUUUACUUUUUAUAAUUUCAGCUAGAUUUGUCUUUUGCUAGUAAAGAAGUCAGGUCCGAUACAGUGUGAAUGAACUGCAUGUGACCUGUGGGCGUCAGAAAAUGCUGGGGUAAAAACAUCAUUUCGUCAAUCGUCGUAGCAGAAAAUAUCUAUAACAGUGGUAUAAUAGCUACUUAUACGUAUUUGAUCAAAAAAAAAAAGACUACUAAUACGUAUGACCACUCCUAUUAUUAAAUCUAUUAAAUACUACUAUACGUAUUUCAUAACUGCUUGUUCUUCGUAAAUGACCACUCUCCUUUAAUUAUUUAUCAUAGUGCUAUAACAAAUUAAUUCAUAGUAUGUAACGGUGAAUUGAUAAACCAGCUACUACGAAUUAAUUUAGAAAAUAUGAAAUUUCACAAUAUGACAAAUGUAGAUGUCAUUGUUUCCAGGAGAGUUCUAAAAUACAAGAGUGUCCAAACAAACACAGUGAAGAAAGUAGUUAAGAGGAUAUUUUCCAGUGUAAGAUCUCUUGGAAUCACGCUAAUCUGUGAUUGAUUUUAUAUCUACAAUCGUACUUAAAAAAAUAUAGUGUUUUUUUUUAAUUAGGUGUAAUGUAGAACAGAGACUUUCAGAUCCACUUGAAUCAAUAUUGUAUAAAAUGUACUAAUCUAAUUGUUGUUUAACAACUUGUCUCUAUUUCCUCAAUCAUGAUUCAUAACCCGAUCGGUCUCCUAAACAUUAGUCUUGUUUGAGCCAAGAAUAUCUUCAAAAUAAUGCUGUAUUUAAAUAAGUCAUUAAAUUAUUAUCAUUGUAAGGAAUCAAUUAUUUAAAGCCACCUCUCAAUUAUUUAACAUAGUAGUAAAUUAAUUAUUUAAAGCCACCUCUCAAUUGAUUAACACUAUUUUAGUUUCCAAACCAGUGGCUAAAAAGCAAUACCUUGUUGGGGCAAAAUGUAUUUAACUAUUCAUUUCAUUUUAUUUCAAUUUUUUGCAGUAUAUAUAUGUAAUAUGUGUGUAUACGAGUCUGAUCGAGUACGUCAGCGAUUCAUGAAUACCAUUUAAUUGACAUAGGACAAAAGGUUACUUCUGAUUCACCAUUUACUAUUCUCAUCAUUCUCUUCUUUUUUGGGUUCAAAUUCUCAUCAUCGUCUAUUCCUCUUCAUCAUAACUCUCUCUUGAAUGUUAUUUCCAUCUGUAUAAAUACAAACUUACAUGAAUUAGUAACGUAUUAUUGUUUUCUAUAGCUAUUCUAGAUAGGGGACGUAAAGAGAAAAAAAGAUAGGGGACGUACUUUUUGUUGACGUUAUAGAGGACGUACUUUUUUUUACCCUGUUGUUUUUGUUUUGUUUUGUUAAAGGCUUCACGGCUUUACCCAAUUUCAAUAAUUCACAAAGACAUGUGCAAUAUGAUCAGUUUAUUACAAAAUUACAUCUUGUCUCAAAAGUCGCAAUCUACUGCUUCGUAAAAGAUGGAUAAAACAAAAGAGGAAAAGAUUGAUUUGUACAUUGCCUACUAACUUAUUUAACGUGGCCAGAAGCAUGAAGUUUCUUGAAUUAUGCAUGCACAUAAAAGCCAAAACAAAAACAAAAAAAUCUAAAGUCGGACGCGAAAAAAAGCAUCUGCUCUCUUUGGAUAUCGAAUAUACUCACCUCUCUUCAUCGCCGAUCCCAUCAGUGUUGACAUGUUUGGUCAACCAAAUAAAUUUGUAGUGUCACUGAUUUCUUAUCUUUUUGUAAAUUUUCUACAUUGAUUUGCUUUUUGAUAUAAAGUUCUAACUUUUUUAAAAGUAUCAUAUUACGAGGAAGCUAAAGCAACUACAAGCUCUAGAAGAUUGUAACUUUUCUUUGAAAGUAAAAGCACUCAUGGUUUUUAAUUGCUAACAAUAUACACUUACGAUAGGCAAAUCCUCACACUAGGGAUUAUAUGAGCCACUGUUUUGGAUUCUGUCCCAAAAAUAUAAAUGAACAAAUACAACUACGUACUGAUCCCUGAGUACACUAUUGAAGUCCCAUUUCCGUAUAAUUCCCACAUAGAAAAUAAAAGAUUGUGACAAAAAUUUCUGUCUUUGAUAGAUAACAGUAAUAAGAUGAUGCACUAAAUCUAUCCACGAGAUGGAAAGAAAAAUUAAGUGAAAGAGAAAGACUUUAGGUUCGAAUCACUUCAUCUCCGUGGUGUCUCUCCAUACAUCUCUGUUUCUUUGAGUGAAACUACUCCUAAGGAUUUGAGCAUAUGAUCAAGUGUAUUUGGGUUCAUGUAGAAUCUAGUUGCAGGAGGGAACAUGGAAGCACGAAACAAUAAGUCACCAUUUGGUCGAUGGGCCUCAAAUGUCACCUACUGAUCACCUUCUUCCUCCACGCUGUCCUGGUCUUGGACCUGGGUUUCUGAAAAAUUGGAGCCGCAAAAUCUUGGAAUCGGGUUCGUCUUCAUCCAUUCGAUAGUCUGUCAAAUAUAAAGUUGUAUCAGUUAAACCAGCGGACGAGUGUUGGCUUGCAUCGGACAAAAUCAAACUUUGAUACAGUAUAUGUUCUAGCAUAGUGUUUAUAACUGAAAUGAAGAUAGUAAUAUCAAGAAACCAAUGCAAAACAAACUCAAUAUGUGUUGGAACAAAUAUUAGCAAUCCCCAAAGUAGAGAGAAUCUCGGUUACCUUGCAAAGCGCUCAGAGCAGUUGCUGCACAGGCAGAGUUUUCAAAAUCAACAAAACACAGAACAGUAGGAUCUCCACUCCUCUGCAUAAAACCCCUUAGAAAGUCAAUAUUAAUGAAAUUAUGGGACUGAGUGUUUUCAUUUUCAACAAUUCUUCAAAUUGGAACCAGUGAAUCUUACGUGUUUUGAAUCUUGGGUCACAAGUCUUACUUCUCUAUAUCCCACAAAAGGCCGAAAUAUAUCUAGACUUCAGUUAAGGACAAUGAAUAGCUCAAACAUUCUUAAGUGAGGAAAUUAAUAAUUGUAAUGAGUCAUUAGGUAGGAUACGGGAUACUUCCCUUCUUGAGCAAUUAGAAGGAAGUCCUUCAACAUACAGAGUGUUGGAUACAUCUGGAGGUAGAGGAUGUGGUUCCCGGCCUGGCCUACCAACUGAAUCCAGCUGACCAAAACCCAUAUCCCGACCAUUUGGCCUGAAAUCUGAAGGCAAACUCCCACCACACCCAGCCAUGAGCUCACCCAUGGACGGACCAGGCAUCAUGUUGGAACCUCCUUGUCGUACCAUGCCAACACCAUUAAAUGGACCAGCUUCUUCAGAUGGCACAAAAAACGUUUGCUACAAAACAGGGAAAAGGUUUCAGUACACUGAAGAAAGAAGAGAAAAAAAACGAAGAAGAGACCACGUGAAUAAGGAUUAUACCAUACUCUGCAGGUAGCGGUCAUAAGCUGAUCCAAUACUUCUAGUAUCCUUUACUGAAUGGGGGAUACCUCGAUCCUCAUCCUGUGAUAAAUAACUGUGCAUAUCACCUGAAGGAAUCAAAUAUGGUGUACCUUCUACAAAGAGAAAAAUAAGACAAUUCAAAAUCACACAUUGAUAGGUAUGGCAAUAUAUAAACCAGUGGACCUCAUGACACACGAAAAAGAAGUACACAAGAUACAUAAUCUGCAACUAUAAAUCAGUGAUAAUCUGUUCCAGCAUUGAUGGUCAAACACUCAAACCUCUUUAACGUAGCAUCAUAUUUAGUAAGAGACGAAAUGAAGGAGGGACAAAUAAGACAAUUCAAACUCACACACACAACUUUAGAUUCAUGUGAUGAGCACAUAGCAGUUAAGGAGGGACAAGAUUCAUUGAACAUAAACUUUAAAGUAUAUGUGGGAAGCCCACCAAACAAGAAUACACAUAUCAUCAAAUUGCCAAAUUGAUGUAAACAAAUGACGCAAUCAUCACGAAAUGCAUAAGUAGAAACCCUCUAACUGCAUCGGAGUGUCUCCAAAAAAAUGAUGAAAAAACGUAAAACAUAUCCUCUCUUUUUUCCUAACACUCGUAAAUUGGUUCACCUAGAUAUAAUAACUGAAUCAAGAAUCAAAGAAAUUGUUGAAAAGGUCCAUAGAAGAAGGAGACUGAAUCUUCGAUGGACUACUCUGAAGGAUAGAGUUAAAGUCAUUAAAGAACGACGAAAAACCUUGUGGAUCGGUUGGUCCAAUAGUGGAAAAGAAGUCCGGUGAUACCGACGGCAGAGAAUAAGGUCCCGGCGAUAAAAUCCCAGCAUGGUGAAAACUUGGCCGCUCGAACCCUCGAUUUUGAUGUGGUUGUUCUUGAUGAUGAUGAUGAUAAUAUUGAUCCAUAGUCCCUUCGCCUCCAACAAAUGUCCCUAGUUCGUUUGAGAUAUUAGCCUUCUCUGUAACAGCAAACCGAGCCGCCGGAGAUAUCAACCCAUGAGAUGUAUCAACCAUUGUUGACGUGUCUUUUGGUUCCGACGUGGAUGAAGAGGAGGAGGAUGAUGUUGUGGAGGUAGAGGUUUGACCUGUGAGACGUUGGACCAAUGUCAUGAAGUUAUUAGGGUGUGUAUGGAUAAUUCUGGGAGUUACUGUGUAUAUGUUCACGGGACCAGGUGGGGGCCGAGAUUGCGACGGUUCUUGCUGAUGGGUUUGUGGUGGUUGUGGUUGCGGGUGUGGCGGCGCUAGUGGUGGCUUCUUGAUAAUCUUGUGCGAAUCUCCACGGACUUUCAGUGGUGUUGGUUUCGGACCCAUGUUUCCUCUUGAUCUUGGCGAUCUAUUAUCCAUAGAAUCCACUUUAUGAGAUGAAUAGUAUAUGUAUAUGUGUAUGUGUGAUGAUGAAUUUAGUGAAGAACAAUGAUUAUGUGAUGAUUAGGGGAAGUACUUGUAUAUAUAUAAUUAGAGAAAAAUAAGACAAUUCAAACUCACACAUCGAUAGGUACGGCAAUAUAUAAACCUGUGGACCUCAUGACACACAAAAAAGAAGUACACAAGAUACAUAAUCUGCAACUACAAAGCAUAGAUAAUCUGUUCCAGCAAUGAUGGUCAAACACUCAAAACCUCUUUAACAUAGCAUCAUAUUUAGAAAGAGACGAAAUGAAGGUUUAUUUUCUCAUUAACUUAGAAUAUGAAUGUACAUGUACAUGUUCAUAUACAAGAUAGAAUGUAAAAAACUACCCUACACAAGUAACAAGCUCUCUAUACUACUCUAAUACAUCAAUGUGGUGGGAUACAUACACUUAUCUUUACAGAACCGUUCAACCGCAAACAUAAUUUGAACAAAGUGGAUCAAGACUCCUAUAAACAAUAGUACAGAGCAAUUUUCAAGACAUACAUAUAUACUAAAAGAAGUUCUGAAUAAGAGCCAUACAAAAUGAAACCUAAGAAGAGAAUCAUAUGUUAAUGGUAGCUCCCAUAUAGCUCAUCUUUUUAAGUAAAAUAAGAAAAGGUUUUGUUUUCAUGGCAAAGAGGCAAAAUUUAGACCUAUAACAGAUGAAAAAUCUGUUCAUUAUUCUAUAUAACUAUCAUCACAACAAUGCCCACUAACAUAAGAGCUACAUUGAGAGUUGAUUCCAAGUGUAAAGACAGCUCCUUUCAGGUCUAAUAAUGAAAAUUACACACAGAGCGGAAAAAAAGAAGAAACUUUUAGCUUACGGAAGUCGGAACGGGGACGUUUGGGAGGAAGAACGUGAGGGUUCGACGAAAUUGGAAGCUGAUACUGUCUCUGCUGGUUCCAGUACUCAUCCGCCAUUGACGGCGACGGAAACAACAAAUCGAGAGAUCACAAUUCGAAAAUUAGUAAAUAAAAAUUCCUAAUUUACAGAAUAAGGCAUUCGAUUGCAGUUCUACUUGGUCCCAAUCGAACAAAAAAAUUCUACCCAGCAACUUGCUCGUUCCUCUGUUCAGAUCAAAAUUCUAAUUCGCUCAAUUUCAAUUUCAUCGAGUUUUCUGACUCAUUCUCUUUCGACAACGGAAGUGAAUGAUCCGAAUCUGAGUGACCCGACCCGUUUUGUUUAUAAACCCGGUAUUUCUUCUGGCGCCAAUUUAACAAGUAACGACUAAGUGAGGCCAUGAAUUUUGUCUGGACUAAUAUUUAUGUAAACUCAGUAAAAAUUUGGUAGAAAAUAAGUUUAACUUAAAAACUGGCAGAAAAUGAGUUUAACUUACAAAAAAAAAAGACUUUUUAAGUUUAACUAUUUAAGAUAACUCAUUUUCAACAAAUUUGUAGUGAGUUUACAUAAAUAUUUGUUGUAAGUAAAAAUUUAAGAAAAUUUACAUACAUGUCACCUACUAGUAUGUACAUAGCUUGGGGUUGGAAAGAUAUCAUUCCCCAAUUGCCUGCUCUCAUUCAUGCUUUUCAAACAUCGGAGAUGAACACUCCCAAAAUGAGAAGGUUGUGCAAAUUUACAGCACUACCAGAAGUAAGUCUUAAAAUCGUUUUUAUGUUGUUUAUUGUAUCUUUUAUCCAACACUUAUAGACUCUAACACACAUUGUAUUAUAUAGGCAAUGAAUAACAUAGGCGACAGAUCAGAUGUUUACAGUUUCAGAAUUUUUCUUGGUACUAUAAUAACGGUUAAGGUUUCAUAUGAGACUUUGGAUAGAUUAACGGCUAGACACACAAGCCUUAGGUGUUAUCGGGGUAAGACUUUUCUCCAUCCUUAAAAUAACUCUGACUGUGACAUAAUUGACUAAAUUGUGGUCAUGUGUUCAUUAGGGACAAAGGCCUGAACUUCCAAGCGAGACGAAUCCAAGACUGAAGAAAUUAAUCGAUGAAAUGCUUGGAUGGAGAUGCUAUGUAUAGGCCUCACAUCUAAGAUGUAAGACGUGUUUUGGAGUCGCUUGUCUCAGAAUUAAAUACGCCUACUACACCAACAACAACGCCUCUCCUGGUCACUCCUUCAACAUCAAACUCAACAUCGACACUGGUGUUAAGGGAUCAAUUUGAGGCAUUAUCAGGUGAUCUUGAUUCUUGAGUAAAAACCAGGAAAUAAUUUCACAAAAAGAAAAACAUUAUCCCAAACUUUGAUUUUUUCUAUGCUCACGUAGCUAAGAACGUGUUGAUAUCUCUGUUCUGGCACAUAUACAGUUUUAGUGCCCAAACUUUUUUGUUCUUUACUUCUUUUUCUUCCUGAUCAAUUGUGAACUUUGAGAUUCAGUUGUAUAUUCUAGAAAGUAAAAGGACCAUAUUCUCUUGAUCGUUAACUUUUGGAUUAGAAAACGUCAAUAUAUUAAAAUACAUCAAUAUCUAUUUUGAUAAAUUAUUUAAGAAUAUAACAGUAUAACCAAAAAUCAACGAUUAAUUUGAUAGAAAGAAGUCCGGUUAUAUCAAAUUCAUAGAAAGCGAUGAGAAUUUAACAUGAGAAGAAUAUUUUAGCGAAUCUUGUGAUAAUAUAUGUUAUUGGAAUAUCAGCAUAGUGAUUAGAAUUUUCUUGAAAAGAUAUUAGUAGAAUAUAUACUAGGAUUUGAUAAAUAUAUUAGAAUCUUUAUUUCUAUAGAAGAUUUAUUAGUCGAUAUUAGUGGGAUUUUGUGGAGUGAUGGGAUCAUAUGUUUCCCUAUUUUAUCUAGGGGUUUCUAUCUAUAAAAGGGGAUUGAUCAGAGCAGUCUUUCUCCAUAAUAUAGCCGAUAAUAUGAGUAAGACUUAUAAACCGUUGAAUAAAGAAACCGUGAAGUUACAAGCAAUGCUACAAAGGUACGGGUACUAUGAAAUGGUUCUCACUUCCCUUGAUUCAAAGGUUCAUUAGUCUUACUCGUAUUGUUAGCUAUAUUAAGAGGGAAACUCAAAGAUGUCAACAGAACUCCAGAAGAUGUCGGCCAAGAAAGUUCAGGAAGUUGUAACAUCAGCAACAAAGCAAUCUGCUAAUUGAAUCAAGUGGUGCCAAAGAGGCCAUAAAAUCCUUAAAAAGUGCCGGUAAUCGUUUAUUAUAUUGGUAGACAAACUCAAAAUAACUUUGCAUCUUCUGCUGUUUAAAGCUCAAGGAUAUAGCACAUAAGUUACCUCUCUUGCAAUGCGUUAUUGGCCUUGAUAGUAUUUUCCAUAUUAAUCUCACCGUCACUGUUUUGUCCUUAAGCAGUAGUUAAGCUCUUCAUUUUCUCUCAUGAAUUGUUUCUUUUUUUGGCGACAAAAGUCAAUUACACAUGUGAAACUACUUUCAUUUAGUCCACUGAAUGAUUUAAUCGAUCUAUUUUUGGAUUUCAAAUCACACGCAUAGUAGGUUCAAGAAUAUUAAUAUACUAACAAAAACCAAUUUACCUACAAACCCAAAAGUUAGAACUUAGAAGAUUAUACAAAUAGAAUUAAUCUAAUGCCCACUAUUGGAUAAGUUGAUGAGCACAUAGCAGUUAAGGAGGGACAAGAUUCAUUGAACAUAAACUUUAAAGUAUAUGUGGGAAGCCCACCAAACAAGAAUACACAUAUCAUCAAAUUGCCAAAUUGAUGUAAACAAAUGACGCAAUCAUCACGAAAUGCAUAAGUAGAAACCCUCUAACUGCAUCGGAGUGUCUCCAAAAAAAUGAUGAAAAAACGUAAAACAUAUCCUCUUUUUUUUCCUAACACUCGUAAAUUAGUUCACCUAGAUAUAAUAACUGAAUCAAGAAUCAAAGAAAUUGUUGAAAAGGUCCAUAGAAGAAGGAGACUGAAUCUUCGAUGGACUACUCUGAAGGAUAGAGUUAAAGUCAUUAAAGAACGACGAAAAACCUUGUGGAUCGGUUGGUCCAAUAGUGGAAAAGAAGUCCGGUGAUACCGACGGCAGAGAAUUAGGUCCCGGCGAUAAAAUCCCAGCAUGGUGGAAACUUGGCCGCUCGAACCCUUGAUUUUGAUGUUGUUGUUCUUGAUGAUGAUGAUGAUGAUGAUAAUGAUAAUAUUGAUCCAUAGUCCCUUCGCCUCCAACAAAUGUCCCUAGUUCGUUUGAGAUAUUAGCCUUCUCUGUAACAGCAAACCGAGCCGCCGGAGAUAUCAACCCAUGAGAUGUAUCAACCAUUGUUGACGCGUCUUUUGGUGCUGACGUAGAUGAAGAAUAGGAGGAGGAUGUUGUGGAGGUGGAGGUUUUACCUGUGAGACGUUGGACCAAUGUCAUGAAGUUAUUAGGGUGUGUAUGGAUAAUCCUGGGAGAUACUGUGUAUAUAAUCACGGGACCAGGUGGCGGCCGCGAUUGUGACGGUUCUUGCUGAUGGGUUUGUGGUGGUUGUGGUUGCGGGUGUGGCGGCGCUAGUGGUGGCUUCUUGAUGAUCUUGUGCGAAUCUCCACGGACUUUCAAUGGUAUUGGUCUCGGACCCAAGAUUCCUCUUGAUCUUGGCGAUCUAUUAUCCAUAGAAUCCACUUAAUGAGAUGAAUAGUAUAUGUGUAUGUGUGUGCGUGAUGAUGAAUUUAGUGAAGAACAAUGAUUAUGUGAUGAUUAGGGGAAAAGGCAGGGUACAUGAGUACUUGUAUAUAUAUGAUUUGUGUGUAUUAAAGAAGGAUAGAGAAAAGUCAAAUGAAGGAAGGAGAGUAAACCUACUUAAAAAGUGGUAAACUUUGGCUACUUGUUUGUUUGUAUUGAUUAUUAUAUCUUUUUAUGUAUGUUUCUUCUAGUAUGUUUCUUACCAAGAUUUGGUUUGGUUUACCCAAGAUUAAAAGUUUUCUAGUCGUGAGAAAAGACUCGCUAUUAACUACGACUUCCAACUUUUAUUAUUUAGUUUUCGUACCUCAAUUUAUUCUCGUUUGUGGUUAAUAUAAUUUGAUGAGAUAGAUACAUCUAGGUGGUGCUCACGUUGUUGUAUUUUUUUCUUUAAUAAAAAAAAAUUUAGAGGUGAAGUUACUGUUUAUAAGAUAGAGACAUAAAUUACGAAAAAAAAAAAAAAAUCGGAUACUUAUUUUUGUUUGCAUCUUAAUGGACUUAAAGGUUGAAUAUUUCCAGUCUAGAGGAAGUCAAAAGCGUAGAAGAGGUCAUAAGUGCCACGUCAGAUAAUUGGUAGCUGACUUGGCAUGAUUUUGUAGAGAGCUCCAACACGGUUCUUCUGAUCCAGACAUGACCCUGUGUCUGUGGACCAUAAUCAACACAAAUUUUGCCUUUGUCAAACAAUAUUUAUUCAAUAAAAACACAAAACUAGAUGUGGUCAGAAGUUUAAUAAUAUGUUUUCAAUAUUAACUGAUAUCUAUUGGCCUUUUUAAAAUCUAAAAUGAAUUUCGAGUUAUUGAAAUACUAUAAACAUGUCUGACAUUUAGUAGUUUUAGUGGUCAGGAAUGUCCACUUUGUAACUGAUUUUUUCUGUUCAAGGGUAUAUAUCACGGUUAUUAAAAAAAUUUAAAACUAUGUGACGUGAAAAUGUCAGAAAUAUAAUUGUGCUACGGCCACGAAAAUACGUUAUAUUGUCAUAAAUUUCAUAAUAGUGAUAAGGCCCACGUACUCUCGACCAACUCAAUUUUUCAUUUAUACGAAAAAAGCUCAAUAUCAUGGCUUCUUUGUCCAGAGACCAGAGGUUUUUGUCUCACGACACACACUCAAUGCGCCAUUCUUGCGCGUGGGUUCACGUUUUGUAGUCUCAGAGAAACAGAGCUUUUUUUUACAGUUAGCUGAAUCGCUACAUAACAAAAUUAAUCAAAACAUCACUACAAAGUCUUGAAGCGUUCGAUAAUAAUCUUUUGUGUUUGGGAGAUUAACAUAGUACAAAUUUAAAUCAUGAUAAUCUGAAAAAGGGCUUACUUGCGAUGUUGCUGGACGCGGGAACAGUAAUACAUGAGGGGAGAAAAAGUCUUUUGUGUUUGGUUUUGAGUCUAUUUUUUGGUCAAACUCGAAUCUCCAAAUGACAUGAAAUCCAUCUAUUUUCUUACUUAUUGCUCGAAAGUGAUUGGUCUUUCAAAGUCUCCCUAGAUUCUUCCAUUUAUGUAUAUUUUUUUGGUACAUUAGCCUAUAAUUAUAAUUUUUGCUGAACAACGAUUAGCGACAUUAUUUGCUAUCAAUUAGCUUCGGAUGCGAGUGAACGCGUAUAACCUUUAAAGGUCUCACGCGGUAAAUUAUAAAGAACAAUACUAUAUUACAUCGCAAAAGUAUAGUUGCGAAGUCUGGUUCUAGAUAGUACGAAUCAGUCUUAACACUGCCAACUGAAACAAAAAUAAAAUAUCGUAUAAAAUCAAAAUGGAGUUUUUAUUUUUUGGCUAAAAUGAAUUUUCUUACAAGAAAAUAUAGAUCAUUACCUAUCUUUUAAUUAUAUACUCAGACAAAACUUAUAUUAAAUUGAAAGCUAUAUUCGAACCCAACUAAAAACUGAAACUGUGUAAUCCAAUUUAUACAAGAUGACGUGAUUUAUAUUAAUCAUUACUAGUAUUUUUUUAGUAAACCUAGAAAUUCAGACUUCCAAACCGGGAUCAAGUCGAGAUUUGAGAUAUAUAGUUAAAAUGAGCCACUUAAACAAGAAUGGUACUAAACGUAGUAACCAAUUAUAGGCGGAAUCUUUUGGGGAAAAUGAACAACAGUUUAGAAGAAUCUACAAAUUCAUUAUGAGUGAAUGAAUAAGUGACAAAAAAAAAUAAAAAAAUAUAUGAAAUUGUGUGUAAAAUUCAGCGGAAAUUAAUUGGUGAAUUCAUCUUACAAUAGAGGAUAACAUCUUUAAUCUUCUCAUCUCUGUCUUCCUCUACCAUCGAACUACAACCGGAAGAAUUAGCCGGAGAAGAUUUUAUUGAGUGGAUGGAACUGCUCUUCCUUGUCACUUUCUUAGAUCUUCCUCGUUGCUCACCUUCCGCCGCCACGUCAAAGCACAUACACAGCCGCAUAAAUGGUUUCAGGAAUCCAAAAGUUCUUCCACUUGUUUUUGGUUGUGACAUUGUUCAAAGAUGAAAACUACAAAGAUCGCUCAAGAAAUGGAAUCUUAAGAAUACGAAUCCACGACGGUGGUGUCUAGAGUCGAGAGAUGUAAAAUGUAGAAGAUUUAAGUGUAUCUUUUAGUUUCUUACAGAUUAGGGAUAAUGACUAUAUAUAAACAUACAAAAGGUAAUUACAAUUUUGUGUUUUGAUUCUUUCGUUAUUUUGUUUCUAUAACAAAAAGUAGGGCAUUUUCUGAAAAUUAGAAAGUUUUGGUCUUUCUAGAGAUUUUUUGAAGGACCGUGAUGUGUGUUAGUAAUAGUAAUAGUUAUUUCCUUAUUUGAAUGAGCUUAUUAAUGUAUUUUACUAAUUUGUUAAGUUUUGAAUUGAUGUUACCGGCUAAAUUUGAGAAUUCAAUUACUGUUACCACAUUUGUGGGAUACAAAAUCUGCGGUAUAAUAUCGUUAUUCAAAAACAAAAAGAAUGAACAUUUAUUGUUGAGAAAAAUAUUGGCGAAAUCGAUGCUAUCCUUUGAUUGAAGCAAUCUUAUAGCAUUGGUAAGAUUUUUGUUUCCAACUACUAGCUUUUGCUAAGAAUAACUAUCCGACUUUAUCGCUAUCUUUUCGACUUUUUUCGUUUGCAAUAUAUUAGCAAAAUAAAUCAUGCAUGUAAUAAUAAUAUAACUGAAAUAAUGAUAAAUGAUGUUAUAAGAAGAAAGAAAGAAAAUUACAUAAAUGCUGCAAGAGUAACUUGUCUGUCCAAAGGUAUGAAAAUAAAAAAGGUAGCUAGGGCCCAAAAGCCCAAAAUACAUGCUGCACCAUGUUUCUAGGUCAAAGCAGCAACGCAAUCUCGAGUCUCGUUAUAGUAUUCCACUUUUCAUUGCUUCAUCACACGAUCAGAUCUAGAUCAAAGGUUUGGGACAUUUACCACAACAAUGUGGCUCUUCCUAUAUCAAUCAGCUCAAUGACGGUUUUGUGUCUUAUUCUAAUAAUCUAUAUAUAACCGCUUGCCAUUCCAAUGAUGAAGAGGGUAGAAAUCUCGAAGAGCAACCUUUUCGUAAACUUGUUGCUCUUUAGAUUUUGAUGAACCGCACCUAAGUUCUUAGCUGUCGAAUCUAGCGCCUAAUUAAGCUUGCCUCUCAAGUCCCAACGUUUUCAACCCUUCGAUAGAUAGCGAUUAGCGAACCAACAUGAAGAUCAAUAUUAAUUGGUGGAAUAAAUUCACAAAUAUGAGAUUUUAAUGAUUAGUCAAUGUAGUUAAAAUCAUAAACCCAAAACUUUUAUGAUAACAAAACUUGAGUAACAAGUAAUAUUUUUUGUUUGUAUCAACUAAAUAUACGCAAGUACUCCUAUCACAAUUAAGUCAAAAUCACUUUCGAGUCAAACUCGAAUUAAUAAUACAGCUAUGAUGAAUAAAUGCCAUCCGGAAAAAAAGAAUUAAGGUUUGACUUCCUAUUAUUUCACAAUUUAUAAGUAAUUUGUACUCGUAUAUAUAUUUUAAUCCUAACAGUACUACAUUAUCGUCAACCCAAAAUAAUAUUGGGAUCGGAGCUUACCAUAGAUCUAGUUUUUAAGGCUGCCCAAUCAAACUUGUAGGUGGUGAUCGACGAUGAUAAAAUAACAAUUGAGGGUUGUUUUAAUAAUAAUAAAAUGCUAAAAAAUAAUAAAUACAGAAGAGAAUUCUACUUGGGGGAAUAAGAAAGAAUGAGGAUUCAACUUCGUAGAUUUGAAGGGAUUGAGAGAAAUAAGAGAAGCAUUGGUCGACACGAAGGUAGAAGCACGUGUUCUCCCGUGCGUGUGGCCCUUAAUCUUGGCGUUAAUCUAUCUUAUUAAUCUUACUACAUUAUUAUGGUUACAAAAUCUAUGCUCUUAACGGUUAAUAAUCUACAUUUGUACUUUAACUUGACAGAUAACAUUUUGGUUAGUAAUGAAAAUAAUACAAGUAUUCCCCGCUCUUCCAAGGCGGAUCAUACUCAUUAAAUACAAUUGUUUUCUCUUUUCUUUUCUUAACUAUCAGUCAAGAUGCUAAAUUAUUUGUAACAACAAUAUAGUUGAAUUGAUCGGACAAAUAUCUUUUGUUAGAAACUCGAACUUAAUUCGUUCUUUAUUUGCUAUCAAAGACUAUACGUAUUAUGCAUGUAAUAGUAACUUAUUGGAUUUGACGGUAUUAAUUAAGUAACUUGGCAAAUGGAUAACCAAAAUGAUGUCAAUAAAUCAAUAAUAAUAUUGUACCGACGCUUGGAAGUGUUAAAACGAUAGAAUGUAGAAGAGAGUGCAAGUGAUCAAAUGUUACGAUGCUUUGUUUACUAAAUUUGUGGUGUCUUGCGGUUCACGAGAACAAGAUGCUGAGAAUGUAAGUGACUAAAUCAUUUACACACAUACUGUAUAUAAUAUGAUGGCUCCACGAUAAUAUUUUAAGAGAGUGUAAUUGUAGGAUAUAUCUUACAAUAUCAAUAAUUCAUAUUUUUCUUAACGUAAAAGAUUAGGUCAAUCAAACAAAAAAAAGAAUGAAACGAUUUGCAUCAUCCAAAUUAAUAAAUAUUAAGACAUAUUUUAAACAAUAAGUUUUUGUUUUCCGAUAAACUUUGAAAUUAUGAAAUGCAUGUACUCGAUAAUAAUACUCUUAUGUAAAACAAAAAAUUAUGAAAUGCAUGUACUCGAUAAUCAAAGUUGAACUAGUGAUGGCUCUCAGGAACACUCUUACGUAAAAAUGUGUUGGAUAGUUUAGUAACCAAGAGAAAACGUCAAAAUGAUUGCACAAAUUCAUAGACUCUAACAGACGAUGAAGACAUAGUGUGUUGGAAGGGGAAGGGAGAUCGCUUCAAAUCAACUUUCAACACGAAAGAAACUUGGACGGCCAUAAGAGAAUCAAAACCAAGAGCAGAGUGGCACCAAGGAGUUUGGCUCAACCACCACAAACCGAAGUUCUCUUUCAUGACUUGGCUUGCAGUUAGAAAUCGUUUAAGCACGGGAGAUAGAAUGUUACAAUGGAACAUGGGGGUGAAUUCAUGCUGCGUUUUCUGUCAUGCUCCAGUGGAAACACGAAAUCACUUGUUCUUCGCUUGUCAAUAUUCAGCAGAUGUAUGGACUGGAUUAUCUAGAAAGCUCUUAUCUCAACGGUUUUCAACAGAUUGGGACAUGAUCAUCAAACUCAUCACGGAUACAUCUCUCGGGAAAGGAUGUUUGUUCUUGGUGAGAUAUACUUUUCAGCUCACAGUGCACUCGAUAUGGAAGGAACGGAAUGGUCAUCGACAUGGAGAAGCACCCAUUCCCUCCUCCCAAUUAACCCGCCGUCUCGAUAAGCAAACCCGAAACAGAAUCUCUUCUAUUCGCGAGUUAGGAGAUAGAAGAUAUGAAGACUAUGGCGAUUUAGUUUGGCUCAAGAUAACAUAGACAUCUCUCAUUUUUCUAAAUUUGUUAAUGCUCUCAAAUUUUGCUUAAACACAAGCCGCACUUAAUGUAAAACAAUUUUUUUAGAAUAAUUUUACAUAAUAUUCAAAAAAAAAAAAAAUGGUUUGUCAGGAAAAAAGUAUUUUUUUAAUUCUUAUGAAACCCAAAUUUCAGGUCGAAUAAACUAAAAAAUCUUAGAGAAAUUCAUCCAAUUGUUUACCAAAACUUAAUAGGAAUAAAUCUAACAAGGACCAAAUUCGAAGGUAACUUGACGAAGAAGAAACGGAAAAGAAGACGCACGGCUCGGCAACCGCCCACGUUUACUUCGAAACAAUUCACACAUUUAUCGAUGCACCUCUGCUUCCACACACACAUGCUCUUCCUCACCUCUCCAUUCACACAUACACACCCGUAUAUAUAGAGUUACAUGAACUCAAUUAUACACCAAGUGCCCACUUGCUAGAUCUCACAAUCUUUCACACCCAAAAAUCAUAUAAGAGUACAUGAAAAAUGUUGCCGUACAUUGGACACAACAGCUACCAGCAGCACCAGUUUCCGUUGCCGGAGAUGGAAAUUCCGGAGAAGUGGAAGCUUUCUUACGAACAAGAGGCUAUUACUGCUCCGGCUUGUCCUCGUUGUGCAUCGUCCAACACCAAGUUUUGUUAUUACAACAACUACAGCUUGUCUCAGCCUAGAUACUUCUGCAAGGGUUGCCGUCGUUACUGGACGAAAGGCGGUUCUCUCCGCAACAUUCCUGUAGGUGGAGGCUGUCGCAAGAGAAGUCGAAGCAGACAGAACAGUCACAAAAGGUUUGGCCGGAACGAGAAUCGGCCAGAUGGUCUUAUUAACCAAGAUGAUGGAUUCCAGUCCAGCCCUCCUGGUUCUGAUAUUGAUUUGGCUGCGGUUUUCGCACAAUAUGUGACUGAUCGGAGCCCUUCUAGUACAGAUAAUACUACUGGAUCCGAUCAAGAUUCACCGAUAACAACAACCACUCAUGCUUUAGAAUCUUUGAGUUGGGAUAUCUGCCAAGAAACUGAUGUGGAUCUUGGAUUCUACGGGGAAUUCAAUAAUCUAACUCAGAAGACCAAAGAGGAUCAAGAAGUAUUUGGUCAGUUUCUCCAAGAAGAUCGAGAGGAGAUCUUCGAGUUCCAGGGUUUACUCGAUGACAAAGAGAUUCAAGAGAUCCUGGAAUGCUCAUUCUCAGAGGAGCCAGACCAGUUAGUUUCUCAGGGGAGCUUCAUGAUCAAUGGUGAUAACUGGAGUUCAACAGAUCUUACCAGGUUCGGGAUUUGACCAGGAAGGAGAAGAUGGUGUCUUUCUUUUUGAUCACAUAUACUUUAAUUUAUUAAAUAUAGAAAAGUACUAUUUACACUAAAACUGAUUCUUAUAUUGUUCAUAAAGUUAUAUCAUACAUGAACAAUCCCACAAUAUAGGAUCCGUGGAGUAGAUUUUACUGUAUAUUAGUCUCGAAUAAUGGAUACAACUUACACUUUCUAUGUUCUUCUGCUUUGCAUUCUUCUAUCCUUUCAGUUUCGAAUUUUGGAACAUACCUGUAAAAUUCACAAAUCCUUACUAUAUCUAUAUGUUAAAAAGCAAAAUCUUGACAGUUCUACAUCUCGUUAAGAAAGAAAGGAAGUUUAGUUUGCACCUCUAUCAGAACAAAAACUAUAAUUAACACUUUUCAUCGAUCUUUUGUUAGUUCCGACAUACUACGGACCUGAGUCUAUGGAACAUAAUUGAUAUAGAACAAGCGACUUGCCUGAAAAUAAUGCUAUUUGUAAGUACAAUCAUGUCUUAGCUCAUGACUUUGUUUCUGGGUGCCACUUUAUGCUGCAACCAACACUUAGAUACCAAAUGCAGGAUAUCAGUUGGUCAUCAAAGGCUAUAGAAUCGAAGAAAAAUGUAUCAGAUUUCAGUGUACCUUGGCUUUUGAUUUGAUGGUAUUGGUUGACAGCUAAGGGAAAGAUCAAUCGCCAGGCUUAGAUCCCUACGCACAUAUAUAACAGGUUAGGUUUUACUUUAAGACUUCUCUGAAAUAUGUUAAAAGCAGUAACAACGAACCUCCCGGUUACUGGUGAGUUACUGCUAGGCCGGGAAUCAUCAAAUUGACCAUGAUAGACCAGCUCAAAUGGUCUACGACCAUCCUGCUCCAUUUGACAGGCGAGAGCAAGUUGAGAUAGAGUUGAUAAACAAAACAAGACACAAUUUUCAUAAGAAGUAUUAAAUGUUUGAGCUUAUAAAGGAAUUCAUGAUUUAUCUACUCCCAAUCCAACAAAUGGCUAUCUUAAGCAUAUAUCCAUAAUACUAUAUUUCAAAUACAACUUUGUGAGUUAAUCUUUACAUGCUUUAGCAGAACAAAAUUCAUAGAAUACCCAAAAAGUAGACACUGCAACUGACUUAUCUGCUGUCAAAAUAUAUGAUCACAAAUUACCUUCUUAUACAAGAAAAACUCAGGUGUACAAACAGCUCCAAAUUCUCUUGCAACCUCUUGUGACUGAGGCAAGAGAGAAAAUGUCACAAGAAGAUCCGAAUAUGAGUAUAAUCAACUAACAACCCUGAAAAAAGCAUUGAAUAGACAAAAAGAUACCUCAUCAUAUAAGUAAGGAAAUGGGUAUUUGAAAACUUUUGCAUCCUCUGCCAUGAACUCAGGCCCAUCCUGUGAAAAUGAAACGAAACUUAAAGAAACCUCAUCUCAACAAUUAAAUAAGCACUGACACUACAGAGUCACACACACAAACCUGAGGAUGAGUUACCACAGAAUUUGAAGAUAUUGCAACAACAGCAAGACCUUUCUGCAGAACAGAACAAUAUAGCUAAGAUUCAUAUACCAAUGGAUAUAACAAUGGAGAAGCAAGUGUUCGGUACCUUCAUAUAGAAAUUGCAUAGCUUUACAAUGUCUUUUUUUAAAUGAAUCACAAACGGGCAAUGAUUGCAGAUGAACAUUACCUAGCAAUUGUAACAGUAUCAUGAUGAACACAAGAACAGAGCUUUAAAUACAAAUUAUGGCAAACUGAAUCAAACAGAUUAAAGAUACACUCACCAGUAGAGACGGAUACAGUUCAAAAUCUUCUAAUUUCCAUAAGUUUCCAGUGAGCGGCUCCGGAAGCUAAAUAGUUCACUCAUAAACACACACACAAAUCUCUAUAAUUAGAAACUCCUUGUUUUUUAUGUUUUUCCAGCGACGCGCAUAUCACAGUUUUACCUCAAAAUUGGGAGCUCUAGCUCCCAGUUUUACUCCGGCUGACUCAGUUCUAGCGGCGCGAACCACGAGGCGCCUCGGCGAUGGUGCAUUGACUCUCCGCCGCAGAUUACUGAAGUCCAACCUCGACGGCGAGAAUGAAGAAAACCUCCGGGAAGAGACUGCUAAUGCAGUUCGUGAAGGAAGUAUAGAUGAAGCUCCGUGUGUCACGGUGGUUACGACGGUGGAGGCAGCCAUUGUAGUCUCUGGUGAUUUCUUCAAUUCUACCGGAGCCAUAAAACACGCGUCAGUAUCUUAGACGUUUCUAGAUGAUGGGCCGAAUAGAGAUAAGGCCUAGCCCAAUAUGUUAGCACAAAGUAAAUGAAUAUUUCGAGAAAUUAAAUUGUAUCUUCUUUUGGUCCAAGCCCAUAAACCCAACAUUAUUUUAUUAAAAAAACAAAUUAGUAUAUCUUUUUUUCUUUUGUUUUACUUUUUAGUUUUUACUUCUUCUCAAUCAAACACUUUUUAUAUCCGAAAACAGAAAUUAAAUAGUUAUUGAUGGCCGACUAAAAAAGAAGACCAAAAAACAAAACUUAUAAAGUACUAUUAAAUUUUAGCAUCUAGAAGAGAAAGGAAUAAGCCGAUAACGUAAUGUCUUAGGCUCUUAGAUUAAGUGAUUGAUUUAUUUUAAAACAAAUCUACAAAAGUAUUUCAAUUCAUGAUACAAAAAAUAUUGUGAUUAAUUAACCAUGAUAUGAUAAUAUAUUUUGUUUCUAGUGAUGUUAGAGGUGACGUAUAGGCCUUUUGCUUUCAAAACUUGCAAUAUAUAUGCGAUUUACUUGUACAUAACUAAAUGUAUAUAAAUCACACACAAUAACAAAAGUUUACAAAACAUUAGUGAAUUGUUAAACUACGAAAUUUUUAUAAACUUCCACCCACAUAUUUGGAACUCGUUGGAACUAAGAUAAAUUAAUCUCUCAUAAAGUUUUCUUGUUUCUAUAAUUGUAUUAUAAAGAAUGUUUAUCAAUAUAUAUGAAUAAGUUCUAAAUUGUGUAAUUGUAUAUAUGCGAUAUGGACUUAAUUUUCAAAUGAUAAGGCACCUUCUUUAUAAGUUAUAAAUUUAUAAUUAAAGGAUAUUCUCUAACUUUUCGUCGUCUAUUAAGAAUGUAAUCACAUUAGGGUCAUGAUCGGGACUUAGGAAGACUUUAUACGCUACUGCAAAUUCACGUUUUAGUCUGAUAGAAAUUUUAGUUUUAUACAAUUAAAAGUAUAAUAGUGUUAGUGGAUUAGUUUUUAGUUUUGUCUCUUUUGUUUUUGAAAAGGGUUGUAAGUUUGUCAAUGGAGGGUUUAACUCGAGUACUCAUGAACCAUAUAUGAUGCGGUGGUACGUCAAGAGUGGAGAUAUAGGAUUAGAUAUCUCGUAGAAAAACAAUUUAAAUUUUCUUAUAAUUUACGAUCUUAAAUACAGUAUCGUACUGAGAAUAAGUUCUUCUUACCAACAUCAUAAUAUGUUUACUUUAGAUAUAAAAAUUGUUGAGAAAUAUUUAAAAUCGUAAAAAAAAACGAAAUCAAUUGGUGGUAUAUUACAAAACCCUUUUUCGUUUUAAUAUAUUACAAAACCUUGUUAGGUUUUAAUCGCUUAAGAGCUUGUUUUUAUUUAUUGUGAUGGUUGAAAUGUAUUUAUAUUUUAUUGUAUGUACUUAUACUAAAGGUACUUAAAUUUUUAUUGAUAUAAAGUACAGUGUGAGUAAUGUUUGAUACAGGAGAAAUUGUCGUAUUAUGUAAUGUAAUUGUGAAGCAAAUUGAGCUUUACAUGAAUAUUCAAUAUCUCAAAACUAAAUUUCAAUGUAAACCUUUCACAUAAUUAUAUACUAAAAUAUCUAUAUAACACUUAUAUAAUAUGUAUAGUGGUGUAAAUGAUUGGAUUCAUGAAGAAGAGCUGACAAUCCAAACAAUUAAGAAAUUGAGAGAAGAUUCCUUUUAUUUCAUCCUUGCAUGCCUUAUGAUCAGCCAGCACAUCUAAACGGAACCCUAAACCCAUUAAUCAAUAUUAUUAGUGUUUUCAACAGUUAGUUUAAUCGUUGAUAUCAACCAUUCUAUUUUAUUUAAAUAAUUGGAUCGAUUAGAACCAUAAAACAAAAAAAUUGAGGUCAAAAAGUGGGUCACCAUCAUCAUAAUCUAAGGAAUCUAAAGCGAUUAGUCGAUUACUAUUUUCAUGCCAUACCCAUAUAUUAUAUGAAUAUAUGCAUAACAUAUAUAUGAGUUAUACCCUCUUUGCUGUUGGAGUUUACUUGUCUCCGCUUCUAACCCAAAACUAUAUUAUUAUUAUAUAUUUUUGGUUUAAGCCAAAACUAUUUUAUUACUUUCAUCAAUCAUAUUAUAACGAGGAACAAUUUUAGCAUAUUAAAGUUGAAUGUCUUUUCUUUUUCCUUAUAUUUAAUUCUUCUCUUUAUAAUACAAAAGGUAACACCAACUUGAUAAAGUCUUUCUUUUUUUUGGGGCAAAUACUUGAUGAUUUAAAGUCAAAGCGAUGUUUUACAUUAAUAUAUAUAUAACGCUGGUCUUGUAAUAAAGUAGAAGAUUACAAAGAAGAAACAGAGAGAAGAGAUCAUGAAGAGAAAGAGAUACGAGAUGGAGAAGAAGAAGAAGACAGAGAUUCAAACCGCCAUUGAAGAGCUCUCUGUUUUCAUCGUAACUAAACCUGCAGAUAAGACUGAGGCUACACAUAUACCCUUGAGGCCUAUUCUCUCCUUCUGCAGCUUAAUCAUCCAAGUUCUUGGUAUCUUUAUUUCUAGUUUUCGUAGGAAAUUAUAUUAUUUUGAUUAAUUGUUUCAUCGAUUUUAUAUAUUUUCCUGAGAAACUGAAGUUCAAGGACAACUCAAUGAUUGUCAUUGUCCUGAGCUGCUUGUGUUUUGGUGCUUGCAGAUAAGAUAGGACCGACAAUGGCUGUUCUUAGACAAGACAUUGAUCAAAAUAUUCAGGUAACUAAAGAUAAUGUAACCUCAUGCAUGCAUAUUAAGACAAGACAAAGAGCUUUUAUUUAUAUUUUUAUUUGUCCUCUUUAUUGAUUGAAACUCAUCACAUCAUGUGUACGUAUGCAUGUAAUGUAUGGUGGCCGGUGGGUCUAAACUAAUAUCAAUAAAAUAGUCUAUAUAAAAAAUCUGUUGAACUUUUUUGCUGAUAAGAACGCCCAAUAGAUAUCUUCUCAAUGCUUUUGUUUUGGGUAAAGAUCUCUUCAAAUAAUUCAAUGUCAGGCUUGUAAUCCCUUAUUGAGUCUAUUUUUAAAAGACUUUCUAGAAAAUCUCUUCUUUCCCUCUUUUUCUCACACUUCAAUUAUCAUUUACUUAUGUAUUUAUUAUUUGUUGAUUUGGGUGGUGUAGAGAUUAGAGAAAUUUUAUGAAACAGAUUCCUGUGUUUACUCGAAUUUGGCUGAGAUUCUGAAGAAAGAAAAGGAGGAGGGAACAUCCAAGAUGGUUGCUAGUUGUGGUAGAGCUCUUUUUUGGCUCACUAGGUAGGUAUAUUCACUUCUUCUUUUUUUUGUUAAAAACCCUUCUUCUUUUUUCCCGGCGAUAUUUACCUUAAUUAAUGUAUAAUUCAUCACCUAAUUACAGAAUUCUCAUAAUUGAUAUGCAUGCACAUUAGGAUUGUAUUCUAAGUUCUAAUUCAUAAACUGCACUUUUCGUAAUUAGUUUGUCCGAUCCAUCACGAAUAUUCUCUCUAUUAGCACUCCGUACUACUAGUUACAACUUUGGACUUUACCAUAUAUGGAACUAAUGAUUAGUUAAUGUACUAUUUAGUGCUUAAUUAGGUGUAUGACUCUUUCUUACUAUAUUCUAUUACAUAGGACAAUGGAUUUUACUGCGGGUUUACUACGAUUGUUGUCGAAAGAGAUGUCGUCGAAAAUGGAAGAACUUGUAGAAGAAUGCUACAUGACGACUUUAAAACCGCAUCAUGGAUGGAUCGCGUCUGCUGCUUUCAAAGUAUACACCGUGAUCCCUCUCAUUCUAGCUAUGUCAUACUUACUAACAUCAUUUUCUUGUUAUAUCCCAGCAAACUUAUUUUUUAUUAUUAUGAAAUAGGUAUGAACAUAUAAAUUAAACUUUUCUUGGGAACAUAUAUUACAUGUGUUGAUAUCGUGAGAAUAUGUAAUAAUGAAGGUGUGUUUGAAGCUGGUGCCUGACAACAAGACGUUCAUGGAAGCGAUCGGUGCAAGAGACGAGAGCUAUGAUACCUUAAGAGAAGACAUUGAUACCUUGAGCUCAUUGUUGACACCUAUUCUCAAAGAAAUCUACUUUGUUCUGGUAAUUACCAUUAACUUAUAAUGUAGUAUUUUUGUUUAUAUAUUAUACAGUUAAAGUCCUUUAAUUUAUACGUUUUCAAUUUUUCGGUUUAUAUAUGUAUAUCCAUCAAUUGAUUAGCGUGCAUGGUGUUUCAAUUUCUGUUUCAGGAACAAUACGGGUUGAGCAGAUUAAGAUCGAUGUAGGUAAUGGAAUUUAGUGGAUAUUCUCCCAAAUGAUAAUUUUACUUUUAAGAAAAAUGUAUAUAUCUAUGUAUAUAUGUAUAUCAUUGUUGUAAGAUUUAUUUAUUUAAUCAUCCGAAAACCAAAAUGAUUUCUCUUUCUAAAGUUAGAGCUAGAUAUAUGUACAUCUCUGUAUCACGUGUAUAAAGAUGUGAUUUCUUCUGUACAUGUCACGGAUCAUGUCUUAAGCUUUGAAAGGACUAUGCAAAUAUAGAAGUGAAACUGUAAUGCACAUCAUCGAUCGGGCUCUCAUAUGUCUCGUAGUAUUGAUAUUGGAGUCUAUUGCAAUAUUAAAAACAUGUGACAUGAUGCCAAUGCAAAUCGACUAAUCACAACACGAUUUUGAGUAAAAUCGACUAACACAACAACACGAUUUUGAACACAUUAUUUAUUCUUCAUUAAUCUCGUAUAAAAUGGUAAAAAAGAUUAUGGAAACUGAUGAUAAUAAACCCAUUACAUUACUAUAUAGGCUAAUUACAUAUGGACCAUGAUGUGGAUCUGGGCUUUUAAAACUUCCAUGAUCUCAUAACAAAGUCUCUUCCUCGCUCACGUCGAAAACAUCUCCCCGAAGUUUCUUAUUACUUACCUUGUUCAAAUCGUUAAUUGUCCUUUAAAACUUCGAUCUUUGUUCAACAAAAAUAAUCUCAGACUCUCGGUCAACGGAAUCGAAGCAAAACUCUGCCUCUAGUUCCGUAGAAUUCACCGGAGACUGAACAAAAAUCCCGUGAGUUUUUUAGUUUUCCGUUACAUUCUCUGUCUCAAUUCUGAAACUUUUCACAUGGGUUGUGCUCAAAUUUCCUUUUUAAUGGUUGUCGAGAUUUAUCUAUAAAGUCAAUGAUCUGGGUUUGAUCAAAGUCUCAAUCUUUCUCUUAAAUUUCGAAUAUUUGAUGAUCCCACGAGUUAGUCUCUCUAAAUCUGAUCUGGCUAUGCUUAAUCCGCCACAUUGUUGCUCUCAAGCUCUGGAUUUGAUUGUAUCAUGAAAAGUUAUCCAAUUGGAUCGAGUAAGGCAUUUCAUGCGUACUCAAGAAGCGGUGAUUUCGAUUUAGAAUCAGGAGGAACUAUCAGAAAAUCUAGAAAGCCUAAGACUUCGUUUUCGAAGAUGAUCAAAUCUCUUGGGAAUCGUCUUCACCACAUGUUCAAAUUGCACCCGGUUCUCGUUUUCGUCGUUUGUGUCUCGUUUGGUAUCACAGUUCUGAUACUUGUAUCGUCGAUUUACGGGAACCGUUUAGGAUCAACGGUUAGUUAUUAUAAGAAGAAUGAUUUGGAUAGCGAUGGUUAUCCAUUUGCUAAUCUGAAGAACCUUGUGAUGGUUGCUGGACAUUCUGUUUAUACGAGUAGUGAUUGUGGUAAAGUUGAGAAGGAGGAUUCGUGGUUCUUGGAGUCUUAUCAGAAGAAUCCAGGUCAAGCUGCAACGUUCUUGAGUCAUAUACAAGAAGGUGUUGAAGCAGCAGCGAAAGAUGAUGAGUCUUUGCUUCUAUUCAGUGGUGGAGAGACUCGUAAGGACGCAGGACCUCGUAGUGAAGCUCAGAGUUAUUGGGCUGUUGCUGAGUCAAAAGGAUGGUUUGGUGAGUCUUAUUAGUUUCUGCUCUUUAUUGACUUGAUGGCAAAAAUGUGGUUUUGAUUGUUUGGCUUGUGUUAAUGAACAGGUAAGAAUGAGGUGAGGUCUAGGGCCUUGACGGAAGAGCAUGCCAGAGACAGCUUUGAGAAUCUUCUCUUUAGCGUUUGUCGAUUCAGAGAGCUCACAGGCUCUUACCCACAGAACAUAACAGUAAAGCCUUUUGCUUUCGAAUUUUGCGCUCUUUAGUGAGCGAAUGGUUUUCCAUUCUUGUGAUAUUAAUGUAUCCCUCAUGCUUGGAUCAGGUAGUGAGUUAUGAUUUUAAGGAGGAGAGAUUUGCGCAUUUGCAUCGUUCAGCAAUGGGAUUUCCGGAAUCAAGAUUUUUCUACUUAGGAACACCAGCUUCUCUAUCAUCCAAAGAAGGCGCUCUAAAAGGCGAGGCUUUGGUUAGAUCACAAUUUCAAGAAGAUCCAUACGGAUGUGUUGGUUCGCUUUGGCGUAAGAAGCUGAAUCGUGACCCUUUCCAUAGGACUAUACCUUACCCUAUUGGUUGCCCUGAAAUUGGAGGAUUGUUCAGGUACUGUGGUUCAGCUCCUUUUCCUGGCUCUCUCCCAUGGGGCUAAUCUGUAUAAGAUCUAUACUUAAAGAGGAAUCAAUACUUGAUCAAAGAGCUUGUUGGUAGAGAAACUCUUUUUCUUUUUGUUACUGUCCAACAUAUUUAGAUUAUACAGAAAACUUCAGAAUCUUUGUAUUCUGCUUUCAUGUGUUGUCGAAAAACCGAGAAUUUUACUUGUAUCAAAUGCAAUUUACGUAAAAUAAAAUUUUGACAUUUCUAUCCAAUAACAGAUCUCUAUUCACUAUUUUUUUUAUUUGGUAAAAAAAUCCAUGUUCAGUCAAAGGAAACAAGUACACAAGUGAAAGAAAAAAGAAUAGUAAAAGAGUAGUUGUUUACUGAAGUAACAACUGCCAGCUCUGUCUCAAAACGGUUUGUUGUUCUGAUUGUUGGGUUUGGAGGAAGAAGAUGAUGAUGUCCUGGUUUUUGCAAAAUCCAUCAGGUCUUUAAAAAGGAUAUCCUCUGGUUUAUCAUCUUUCUUUGGUGGAGUAACAGGAGCAGCAGAGGCUGUUGGAUUAAGAGAGAGAUUCCGGGAUUGUCCCAAAAGAUCAUCGUAUGAAGAUUCAGAGGCACUGCUUGAGUGUUGUGGAACAUUAUGCUGGAAGUAUUCUGGCCUCUUGUUGGUUCUAGCAGACAUUGAGGGUGGAUACUUCCGGGGCUCCUGAGUCUCCCAUGGAGCAGGAGGCAAUUGUUCAGUUUGGUCAUAGACUGGUUUGGUGAAUAAAGCAUGCUCAGGGGAUUUGCUCUGAGGAACUGGUUCAUCGAAAAUAGGAGCAGAAUAGUCAUGGUUUGAUGAUUGGGAUGUACUCGGAGGCUUUACAUUCUCGAAGGUUUCUUGAGGUUUGUAGACAUCACCACUGAGGAAGUCCAUAGCACCAGAAUCAACAUGUACUGGCCUCAUUGAAGAUGGUGGAGGAGGAAG